rnacentral:rRNA from 1 species
CAGUAGCCGCGGGAAUACGUAGGGUCCGAGCGUUGUCCGGAAUUAUUGGGCGUAAAGAGCUCGUAGGCGGUCUGUCGCGUCUGCCGUGAAAUCCUCAGGCUCAACCUGAGGCGUGCGGUGGGUACGGGCAGGCUAGAGUGCGGUAGGGGAGAAUGGAACUCCUGGUGUAGCGGUGGAAUGCGCAGAUAUCAGGAAGAACACCGAUGGCGAAGGCAGUUCUCUGGGCCGUAACUGACGCUGAGGAGCGAAAGCGUGGGGAGCGAACAGGAUUAGAUACCCCGGUAGUCCCUGUCUCUUAUAC